UGAAGACGUCACAAGUUGACAUUCGACUA
rnacentral:sRNA from 1 species